rnacentral:rRNA from 1 species
UACAGAGGGGCAAGCGUUAGUUCGGAAUUAUUGGGCGUAAAGGGUCGCGGUAGGAGCGGCCUGGCAAGUUGGAAGGUGAAAUCCCUCGGCUUAACCGAGGAACUGCCCUCCAAACUGCUUGGCGUUGGAGUCCGGGAGAGGUGAGUGGGAAUUCCCAAGUUCGGUAGCGGUGGAAAUGCGUAGAUAUUGGGAGGAACACCAGUGGCGAAGGCGGCUCACUGGACCGGAACUGACGCUGAUGCGCGAAAGCGUGGGAGCAACGGG